GUUUGCAUGGCACUCAUAGGCUCUGGGACUGAUGACCUUACUCUUCUAGUCUUUUCCAGUAAGCCUUGUUGGAUGACUCAGAGCUCUUGUGCUCCCUCUUUUCAAUAUCCCUUUGCUGUCUUCGUAACCGCAGUGAGAGUAGGAGCUCAAGCAGUUGCCGCUGCAAGACUAGCCGCUCUUGAGUAAAUAGCAGCUCUUACCGCGCUUGAUGGUGAAUAAGCCUUGGAAUCCGUGUUGAGAAAGCAUCCAAUUGCUAUUACAAAAGCAUAUCCCUUAUCUAAUUAGAAGGAACUUCUUUCCGGCGAAGUGACAGCGGGGAAGGAAAGCAAGGGACUGAUUACACUAGUCAGACAUGCCCAGAAGAGGAUAAGAUCAGAAAAGGGCACAAUGCCUCUUGAGAUUGUUGAAUAAGCUAUUCAUCAAUGCUCGAGUCAUAUUCUAGUAGACAAACUUUCUUCUUAUGUCCACCGGGGAAAAGAAUACAAAAAGAUUGAUAGGCCAUUCAUUCCCUUCUCUCUCUCCGAAUCUUGCUCCCUCAUUCCCCUCCAUUCGGCUAUCGAUAUUUGCGGAGUUGAAGGCUUAGGCUUAGGUCUAGGUCUUCGCACCGUCUUGGAACCUUUUUUCUGAGCUUUUGACAGUUGAGUCUCGGACGCUAACUAAGGAGACUACUGCAUCUCGCUCUUAUUAUAAAACAAUAAAAAAGAAGACAGGUUGCCCUGCCCUGUCAGUCUCGAGCUCGAGGUCGUCUUUCUUGUCUCACACAAGAGAAGCCUUCUUUAUACAGACAGGAGUUAGAUAAGCAUGUAGCUUAUGGCUUUAUCCUAUAGAUAUAUAUAGAAAAAAGAAACGAGGAUCAGUCUUCAUCCUUUCGCUUUUCAAAGUGAAUGAUCCCCUCGCUCUUAACCUUUAUGUGACCGCAAUAGCAAGGGACAGGAGCUCCCCCUAGCUCAGUAAGCAAGUGCUACAAACCUUUGAAACUAGAGUAAAGGUACCCAGGGACAUAAAAUGCUAGGUUGUGAGGAAGUGAAUCGGUUCUUACCUGACAGUUCCUAGAAUUGGACAAAAAGGUUUUGCACGUUAAUCAGAAAAGGAAGAAUACGAUCUUGUCGCAAUUGAAUCCGUAACUGCAGCUAUUGAGUCUGCUGUGGGAAUAAGCGCCUAGAAGAGAGCUUUCACUGGCUUUUUCUUACUAUGAGGAUGGAUGUAGAUAUAAGUCGUCUCUUGGCCAGGGCAUUAGCAGAGCAGCUUCCACUCCUCCCUUCGAUAAGCUUCCCUUUUUGGGCACUGGACCUAGUUACCGCUCCAUGGGAACAUCUAUAGAUUCCGCUAUCGGGAAAGUCAGGCAUGGAAUCACGCUAAGGUAAGGUUUCUAUCUAAUCCAUCUAGAAUAGGAUCUACUCUAUCUAUUUGAUUUUCCACUUCUGCCUGGCUGACUGAAUAAAGAAAUGGAACCAUAGCUAAGACUGAUCGAUGAGCCUUCUCUCUCCUUGAUCUGUCUAGUUCUAUUUUUUUGACUAAUCCGAAUCUGUGGACUGAGUGAGUAGCUAACUAAAAUAGAAUAUUUGAGGAUAUAGGAGUAGGGCUAUUCUUCGCACCGAGAAAAUCUUUUGUUAAUCUCGUUAUCUCCACGGGCGCUGGGUUAAGGGCAGAAUCAGACCUUGGGGAACCGGUACGAAAGGGAGCUAGCUAAGGCAGCAAGCCAAGAAAGGCAGCAUAGUAGGCCUUUUAGAAUUAGAAAGGAAGCCAACUCUUGUUCGACGUAGGGUAGAGUCACUUAUUUCAUUCCCUGGGCUUUCCAUCCUAUUAUGGGGCUUGAAUGCGGGUCUUUGGCUAGAGACGGAGACUUUCCCAGUGAAAGCGCUGGCGUUCAGUUUGGUUGCGUGCUUUCCGAUCUCUUUCCCUUCCUUUCUGUGGUAGCAUGGUUAACGGUAGCAUGUUUGCUAGUCUUGUCGGACUAGGAGCUCUACUAGGCUUGACCGUGGGAAAUUGACUUAUUCUUGCUCAAGUCAAGUGGAAUCAGUUUCAUUUGGCUCUAGACUACGAUUCGAUAGAGAACGAUUUGGCACAUCUUCGAUUUCCUGGUAUGAAAGUAGUUAGGCUUGGUUUUCUUUGAGUUCAAGAUAUUCGGCAUAAGCCGUCUUUGCUUUUGCUCUUAUCGAUGUGAUCCUUGUCUUUAGCUUGGCACCAGGGCGGCUUGCUUACCUACCUUAUGAAUGACUUUCGGACUUUCUUCUUUUCUGUUAGCACGCAUCCAGUGACCGAUGAAUCUGUUGUCGGAAUAAGCGUAAGCGCAGCAAGAGAAUUCGCAGCUUUUGUGCCUAAAAUCCCUACUUUAAACUGGGUUGGCUUUCAAAGAUAGAGACUAUCACUGGAUUGCUUGCUCAGUUCCUCAAUCCAAUUUCCCAUUUGACUUCCUGACAUUUUCAAGAGCUUGAAUAAAAGAAAGGCCUGCUUACCCGCUUCAACUUCAAAGAGGAUUUCUCACGGGAUUGGUGUAACUGUCUUUCUCCCACUCGAUGGAUUGCUCCUAUUGACCUAGCUGUCUUACUCGCUGUCUAGCCCGCUCUCCCUGACUUUUUUAUCCGUAGCUUGAAGGAGGGAGAGGCUAGAUGGCAGAAGAGAAGGCAAUGCCUCCUCGUUCUUCGUUUUCGAUUUGCUUGUCCAUUUUUUCAUUUUCACGUGAAGGAAGCAAAGCAACCUUAGUCUUAGUCUGCCCUAUCUUUUUUUUCGAAUAUCCCUUUUCGAAGCUUCGAGCCAAGGCAAUCCGGAGACCAGUACGGACAGCCCAAGCCCAGAGUUCAGCAGUCAAGUUUGUAGCAACUCCAAUUCUAGCUGCAUAACCUCGAAGCCAGACGCCCUAUCUUCCUCGAUCCCACUCAUGUUCGGAUUCACUAACCAUUCCCUUUCUCUUUUUGCAUGUAUGAUUUCUUGGUCGGUCGCUUCCUUUCGCUUUCAUGCGGAAGGCCCCCUACCGGCCAGAAAGAAUUGUUUUAGAUAGUAUAGAGCGUAGCGUUGGCUAUGGUGCCAUUUGCGAAGAAAUGAGUUCGCUUUCUUUACUACUACGCUCUUUCUCCCGUCUCGGACGUGAUUCGUAUUGGAUGCUCUUAUCGGAUUGAUUGGAUGCUUGAUUCCUUAGCAGAGCUACUGAUUUUAGAUGCGGAACCAGAGCAGAGCUAGAGAGUCUCAGCCUUGGUGAAUGAGCCAAGGUUCCUGACUUCUAUUCGCUAUAGCUUCCAUGCCAAGCUAGCAUAGCGCUUUCGCUUUUUGUUGAGAAAGUCAAGCUCAGUUCUUUCUCCUCCCUAACACCCUACUCUCUUCUCUUCCUCAAGUCCCACAGGGCAUUCUUCCACUGGCCAUUUGAAAGAUGAAUCUCUACCUUUUGAAGAAGGUGCCUAGCCUUAGCAGAUUCCUACUUAAAAGAGGGAAAGUGCUAAGACCGCGAAUGUCGCAUCCACGGGAUAAGCAUUCAUUUACCUUUCAAAGAUCGUUUAUCCCGCAGCAUCUUCAGUAUGCUACAAAGAAGCAUGAAAGGGUUAUGCGAAAUAGACAAAAUCGGCUUCAUCUAAUGCUUGCUGGCUAGCGCUAUAGGGCUUUGAACCAUAGGCCUUUCUUCUUUUGUUUUGAGAAGAGCUUGCGCACUAGCAUUCCUUCACCCGAUCGGAGACUACCCGGCUACGUCUUAAUCGGAGAAUUCCAGAUGUCUUGGAAUAGAUUGAUAUAGGCAUUUUUAUGUAUGCGGAGGCUUAGUCAAAAGACAGCUUUCAAAGACUACUUUCACUCGCUUAAAAGCGCCUCACUGUGCGAAGAAUAGCCCAUCAAGCUAGAUGAAAGAUCUGCCAGAGUCUUGAUGUUAAACAAACCCCUCCCCGUGAGAUGCCGAAGGCAAAGUACUUUAAGAAGGGAAGAGCUUGGCCUAGAAUGAGCAAGGGAUAGAGAUGAUGGUAUGAAUGCAUUCAUCAACAGAAGUUUCAUCCUCGGAUUCCCACCUACCCACCUCAGACUUAUUCAUCAUCGUUCUGGUACUGGCCGGCCUAAUGCUUUUCCCUCUCCUAUCAAGGAAUAGGCAUAAGUGACUUGCUCAAAGUAGAAUGUCAUAUUAUAAGAUAAUUUCAGAAUCCUCCCGUUGAUGCAUUGCUUAGCUAAUUUAGUCUCUGUUCUCAUCGCUGCUCUGGUUGAAUGGAAGGGAGGUAGGCCUUAUUUAGGAGUGUACCGAUGUUAACGAUGGUGGUGAUGGUGACCAACAAAGGCAUGCUUUCUUCCCCCAAUCGAUAGCCUAUGGCUUAAAUAAGAUUCUCAAAUCAAAUGAGAGAAGAGCCAUAGUAAGUGGUCAGCAUAGAAUGAGCCUUCUUUCUUCCUACCUUUAGCAUUACCAUUCUCUCAUCGAUUACUGCAAACUCUACCCUUCUCAGUCAACUUCUAGCUAGUGAAUCUUACCUACUAUUCUAUUUUAGUGAAGGGAAUGCUCUAGCCUCUCUGCAAACCAGCACUGUCCCGGGUCUCUCAAUCUUCCAAUCCAGCCUCCUUUCUAGAUAUAGACCUGAGUGGCCUUUUUCCUUCUUAUUCAAUUAAUUACUAGGCUUGGUCUAGCCAGCUUUCCCUUCAAAGGUAGCUAUGGAGGAAGGCUGACGAAGGAAGUAGAUAGUGAAUAGGAAGUUGGAUUACUAAGCACUUCCAUAGUAGCAGGCAUAGCUAUGAGGUACUGCCCGGUUCUCUUCUAUCCUACCUACACCCCCUAAUAGUAAAGUCCCUAGCUUCAAAUAAAGAGCCUUUUUCGCACGUUUAGGGACCCCUCGUACCCUUCCAUCUGAUCAAGGGGAGAGUGCUUUUUGGAUGAGCAAAACUGGCCAUUCUGGACGUUUUCAGAAUUGGGAGCGUAAAGCCAACGCCACUCUCACAUAGGAUCGGGGGAAGAAGGUCUGAGGCAAGGAGUGAUUUCUCGUUGAUCAAAGCAAAGUAAGUAGCCAACUUCUCCCUGUUGAUAGCACAGGAAAAAGACAAGGGCGGAUUCACGACUAUUGCUUGCUACUACUCCUAGCGUGGAAAUUAGCCCUCGUAAGGCCGACAAAUUGGAUUUCUUUGCAUUUUAAUAAAAAAUGUGCGAACAUUCCUUGGACUCUUGAACAGAUUCAUUUCCUUGCUAUGCUACGCACCUCUAUUAAUAUUAAUGGGUAUGACUACAAAAAAGGAAGAAGAUGAGCUAGAAGAUAAAUUCCCGCUGCUGGCAAUAAGCUAAUGGAUGACGAGAAUCGUCACUCUAAUUAUGAAUUCUAGGCUUUCUUGUCCAUAGUCCACCGCUUCGCUCCUUACUACAGGAAUAAGAUUACUACCAACAUCAGUGUAUCGGCGGAAAAGCAACUUACAUCCUUGCAUAUUUUAUUCAUAAUAAGUUAAGUAGCUAUCCUUGAUCCAGAAAGUGGUACUAUACUAAGAAACUAAGACUAAGUAUAAGUAGUAAAAGUAGUAACUCCGAGCCAAAAAGGGUACGACUAUUUCGAAGGUAGAAAGCGAGGGUCGAGUUCCUUAUUAGAGUAGAGUUUUUUCCAACCAUUGGAAGUUCUCCUUCAGACAUUAGGAGUUAUAGUUUUCUUAAUCGAGGUGGAGUAGCUUUCGAUGUCGUACCAGCCUCAAAAAAUGAUAUCCAUUCAGCCGAACUAAUUGCAGUAUGAGCGCACUCUCUGGGCCUAUCUAAUAGCAUAUUUGGAAGUGAUAGGUUAUGAUGACAUCUUUUCUGGUAUAUCAGUGGGCGCUCUAGAAAAAAGAGCUGUAGUUCUAGUGAAUGCUUAUUGAUUUUAAAUGCCCAUACUUUCUCCUGUUAGCGCUUUCGACUUCUCAUCUUUCAGAUGGGAUGUAGCCGUUCGAUCAAAGAAAGAAAAUGAAGCAGAUAAGUUAGAGAUAACUAGUUUUAGGUUCCGGUUCUCGAGCAGGUGAGGCUCAGCCCUUCAUCGAACUCGUUCUAGUUGCUUUUUUUUAGGUAAACUCUGAAUAUAUAUAUAUUCAGAGUUUGUGUUUAAGGCUAAAGAAAAGAUAUAUCAGCAGUUCCUUUUGUAAGCUAAGCCACCUUACUACCUCAGUCAUUUUGAUUUACCGUUCCUGCGUAGCUUCUGGCAUUUAUAUUCCGUCUGCUUGUGGGAUAAGGCCUCUCUCUUGGGUUUAACUAGCGGUUGGGUUAAGUCAAUGGACUCAACCUGUUAUAUUCACUAAAUCAACAAGAUCCUGACUGGCUAAUUUGGGUUCAGGAGCAGCUAGAAUGCCUGAAGCGGGAGGAGCGAACGAAGUGAGAACUAGAUCGAGAGUCCAGUUUUCAGUGACUUCAAGUGAAUGCGCUUUGGGCCUUUAGGAAGCGAUUGAACGAAGCAGUCGAAAUGCUUUGGAUGCACAUGAAUGAGGGAGCAAAGCCAUAGGAAAUAAGGCAACUCUCUUGACAGAGGGGCAUAGCGGGUACUCUAACCAUAAGGAGAAGGAAGGUAGAGCUCGCUUUAAAUAAGUUAGAAAUAGGCUUUCACUCCUCUCCAACCAGUCGAGAUCAAUCGAUCUUCCUCUCCUCUUUCAACCGGAAAAGGCUCUGAAAGAUGACUUCAAUGGGGACUAGAAGGAAAGAAGGGGAAAGAGUAGUUCAUCUCGACUCAUCCAACGGGCAAGCAAGUUCCACGGCUAGAGAGGUGAGAAGGUAGCUCAUUUUACCAGUUCCGUGGGGGAAAGACGAGCAAAGCGUUCGAGGAGCCCUACUUUUAAGAAGAAGGCGUUCACCAAGGGAACUAGCCGGUAGGAGGGAUAGUUGGCCGGCUUUCAAGCCAGGUUGCAUGCAUGUGACUGAGUCCGGAGAUUUCGUUUUGUUUUCAGGGUGUACGAAGUGAAGGCUCGUUGAGACCUUGCCUUAGGAAGACUUUAUAGGCACAGUACCAGGGACCGAACUCUCAUUUCCUUGCUUAAGGCCCUUCGCCUAUGGAGGAUUUCGUGCAUAACUUACGUAUUUAGCUGAACAGGGUAAAAAUCUUCCUUAAGCUUCCCUUCCAUUCUAGGGAAAACCACUGCUGGGAAAGCGUAAUCUAAUCACUGCCUGAAAGAGUCCUAUUUACCUAAUAAAGAGGGACUGCUUGCUUGUGCCUUAAAAUGGUAAAGGACAGAACGCACGGCGCCUUUCGAACCUUUUCUCAUUAGAUCGGGUAACCUGCACUAAUAGGUCAAGCCACAUUUCAUAUAGAAAUUCAGGUUCCUAGGAAUGUCGUACGAGUCAUUCAUCUAGUCCCAAGGGGGCUUCCCGACUCAAGCUACUGGGAAAUAGGACCACAAUUCCUACUCACUGAGUGUAAACGACUCUCUUCGGCUUUCCGUCCCUUUCAAUAGGAAGGGUCACAGCCUAAGUCAGGCCGGGCCUUGAUCAAUGAUCAAUAUCAAAACAACCAUAAGUGAUUGGCUCACGACUACGUAGAAUGAGAUUCUCGCUUCCUUACUUUCUCAUAUCUUUGCUUAGUCCGGCAUUCCCAAUCUCUUUCUUUUUCGACGUAAGAACCGCAAGAUGGAUGAGCAAAUGGCUUACUCGAAAGCACAAGUCUCACUGCCGGGGCGAGCUGCGCGAAAGAACUCUUUUGAGCCGUAGUUUGACUUCUAAGAAUAAGCGGUCGAAGGCACAGUUUUCAUCUCCUUGAAUCGAAUGCGAUAAUCUUCGAUUAUCACUGAUGGCAAAGGACGAUGCCCACACUUCAGGUCGAUCAGAAAGAAAAAAAAAUCCGCUCUGGUGCCAUUUUCCUUAAUUAUAGUAAUUGAAGGACAUUCCGCCAAAUCUAGCAACCCACGGAGCGGUAGACAACCGAGGAAAAAAAAAAGUUUUUUAAUUUAAUUUACCUUGAUGUGGAAAUGCUUGUUUCAAAAGAAAGAAGAUCAGAACGAAAUUACGUAGGUAGAGAGAUCUUUUCUUUUUCAUCCCGAACUAGACAGACAGAGCUUCAUACGGUGCUUUUCAUAAGUUCGAGUCUUCCUUCUGAUCCCAAGGAAUGCGCGUCUGGUGGUAUCGUAUAUAAGAGAAAGCUUGCUUUUUUGAGCCUCCAAUCAUAACAUAAAGAAAGGUUUCUACGGAGCAAAGUCUAAUGAGAAAGCGUCUGUUCACUGGCCCUUUGAAUGGAAUCUGGAGAUGUAGUCAAAAGUGACUUUCAUCGAGAUUGGGUUAGUGUUCAGUGUAACCAUAGAACGGUACAAGAUCGAAAAGAAUGAUUGCAUUUCAAGUGAGAUGUCCAAGAGAAAAGGAACGAGGUUUUGAAGCGACGAGAACAAAAAAUCGUGAAUGAAAAAGCGUGACGAGGUUUUCUCCAUUCGAGAUGUUAAAUGAACUUCUCAGUGCGGUCGAACCCUUUUUACAAGGAUUGCAAUAAAUUUCUACGAGCGCGGGGCAAAGGACGCUACCGCAGGUUCCCGGGAAUCCACCCGUGGAAGGAACUUCUUCCUCUUCGGUGGUCGAAGGGGAGGUCUCCCAAAAUCAAAUUUGGGCGGCUGUGGAACGAAAGCAAUGGCAAGACCUUCUGUCGUCCAAGGAGUGGCGUUUAACAGAACGGCGUUUCCAUCUCUGCGAAAGCAGAAUCUCCGUGAUUGUGGGCAAAGACUAUUAAACUUCUAGCUAAAUCACGCUCAUGAAAAUCAACCACUGCUACCUGUGCUGCUUUGAAGGUCCUAUCUUCGUAUGGAUAUGAUAGAUCUCCUACCUCGGCUGGAACUUGCCUCUGCAACUUUAAGGUAUAAAGCUCCCAUUCCCCCAUUUCUUAGUCACUCGGAGAAAGGUAGCGAAGUGAGUUCAGUUUUUUUAAUUUUGAGUAUAGGAUACCACCAGCGUCGUAUUCGAUGAUGGACAUCUUAGGUCAAUCGGCUUAAUCCCGAACAGCUGACGAGAGCUAGGAUAGGAAAACUCUUUGCCUGUCUGGUCUACCUGAUUGGGAGCUAGCUAGUCUAUUCAAUCAGCUAGCCCUAACAUUCAAUUGGUACUGGCUCAGUUUCACAGUGAUCUUCUUUCUCACAGCAACAACCUUUCCUUUCUGUCUGGCUUGUCAUGUUCUUUUACUUGAUUGAAUUAUGACUCAUUUCCUUGCUUCUUAGUUUGUCUAGGCAAUCCUGUAACACGUGCAAUCCUGUCUUUCACUAAUGCCACUAGGCCCAAUCUCCGGAACUUGGCAGCAGGUAACAAGUCGGCAAUCUGUCUUACUAAUUUCUUUGUGUGUUCUUACAGUGAUCCAAUCAAUCGGGAGUGGAUGCCAGUGAGGGACUAGAAUGAAAGGGCAAGGCUUGGACUACUGCAAUAAGAUAAGGUAGGUAAUGGACAGCCCGGAAAGCACAGCCGGAUUGGCCAGUUCAGUUCCCCGUUCUCCUAUGUCUUUCUAGGUUCCUUUGCUGUAUUGAAUGUAUAUAUAUUUAUGGGAGCUUGUUCGUCUGUCUUUCUAUGAUAGGGAGGGUCUGGCUUUAUUCCGGAUGGAGCACCAUUUAUAUGGAGUUUAUGUGCUUUCAGUUGUAGGCCCAGCCCCUUAGCCUUUUAUUUUAAAUAAAUCCUCCCGAAUCAAGUCCAGAUUUCUCUUUUUUCCUUCCCCGAUUGAUUGAAGUAGCUCCUGUUGUUGGGUCACUUCACGAUUUGACUUCCUUCUUUCGUAGGUAAUGAGUUUCCGGUGGUAUCAUAAUUUGCCGUAUAGGCAUUUACUGAAGUUGGUAAUUGGUAAGGAGAUCGAAGUAUUCCUUGUGCUUUUCCCAUUCACGUAUCCCGUGGUAGCCCUUUAAGGUAAGGUAUUUUGUUAAGGCGAAUUGGCGAAGGAUGGAUAGCGAGGGAGAGGUUACCCCACCUUCCGUAGGCAUUCAUUUUCGGGGAGUAGCCUGCUACAGUAUACAAUUCUAGUCCUCUUAGGGCGCUGUGGAGGAUCCCGAGGCGGCUCAAAAAUAUGACGUGAACCCUAAAAUCACUACCAAAGACAACAAUUCCGACAUUCUCAAUCCUCCUCAAAUGGAUAUCUGUCAAGGUCGGAAUCUCGGAUUCCUUUUUCCAGAUAUCGGCAUCAAUUCUGCCUGUCGUUUAACAUCGUUGCUUUCCCUUUCCUUUUCUUAGGGAACUGCUGAUACCUCUGUCAGUCGUACCGGAAUCCACUAUACUAUAACUAUAGGAACUGAAAGAGAUGAUUUGGCGGGAAUUCCUUAAUGAACUGCUUCGUUCGACUCGCUUGUGAAUGCGAUGGCGACGGGGUCGGUCUGUCUUUCCGCUUUUAAGCUAAUGGUUGUCCUCCGUUCAGACAGCACGGAGAAGAGGAAGAAGUCGUCACAAGGUAUCCGUACGUACGAGUUCUGUAGGAGUGCAAGCAUUCGACUUAAGUUCCCAAUAUAAAUCCGUAGGGUACUCUCGGGCGAAAGGCCCAAACGGCACCUUGUUAGCAGUCCUAUCCUCAGUGAACGUUGUUAGCUGUAGUUACAGCUAUUAAUGGCUCCAUCAAUCAUAGAAAAAGUCUAUGUUGAAGAACCACCAAGAUGAGAACAUCUUUAGAAAGCCCGUUUUGUGUUCAGUGAAAGAAAGCGAUACUGUAGGCUGGAAUCUCCUCAACGAGCUGGAGUAGCGAACGGGAACAACGGCCUUAUUGAUUCAACCUCUUUACGGGACUCCUCUACUAGUUACACUUAGCACUUAGAUAGUGAGGAAAGCGACGAAGCCUUCGGUAAUACCUCUCUCUGUGCUGUCUUCCCGAAAGGAAUAUGCUUUCUAGGUAAGUGCGUAUCAAUAGAGUGUGUAAGCCGAAGUAGCUGGUUCAGGCUAACCUGCUUGUUAUAGGGUAACCAACAAGUAUGCAAGACUCUUUCCGGACCUAGGAUUGUCUUUCGGUUUGAAAUCUAUUAGAAAAUGUAGUUGUUGCUCGCCUGAUAGUAAGUCGCUCGCUUCAUUGAAGGAAGCGGGUCGAUGUCUCGUAUGAAGGGAAUUUGAGUUGCAACCAUGAUAAAAUCCCCUAAAAAACUGGGCGUUGAGGCCCUACCUUUCAGGUAGACCUGCCGUUCACACUUCACCUUGAAAGCGGAUCAUGCGCACUGAACUAAGAAAUAGUAUAGUUUGUUCUAGGAAUGGAUCUUCUCUGCCGCAGGCAUCUAAGAGGUUCAAGCGAGUAGGAGCCUUCUUCUUCUUUGAAUAAAACGCUAAUUUCUUUGUGGACUGUACCGAUAACAUAACUCCAUUGCUCCUGAACUUGCAAAAGACUUUUUUUUGCUACUCCUGCAAACACAAAUACGGGCUAUAUUGGCAGAAUCCUUUCCUAAAUCCCAAUUUUUUAUGUACCCCGACAUAGUCCUUCACAAAGGGGUUUAUUUUAUUCGCUUCGAGCGUGGCGUUCCUGUAAGAAUUUAGUGGUUCUUUAAGUUUAUCCUUUAUCUUUCCCACUACCUACUUCCCUUGAGACUUCGCUUCCUUACCUUUCUUGUCUUUGAACAGAAAGCGAUCAGCGACAGAAAGGGUAAGCGUUCAGGGGAGACCCAGUAAAAGUACUCGGCCAGAUCGACUAGCUUGACAGGUUUUAGGUGGAAAGAACCGUCACUUAACUUAAAGCUCAUCACGACCCUAAUACUAGUGUUGCUGAAGAACAGACAACUAGCUAGGAAAAGGUGCCCCCCAAAAUAAAUACUUAGAACGCUUUUAAGUCUAUAUAUAAAUAAGUAGACUGGACCAAUCAUAAAAAUGAUUACCCCGGGGGGCGACUAAACGCCAAACAAAAAUUACAUAAAUGAUGAAAUCGAAUCCUGUCAAAUAACUGUAAAUGGAUUCGGGGACGUGACCGGUAUAGAUCCAUGAUUGACUGUUACAUCCCUUGGGAUCUACCUUCGAUCGAGUGAAAGCUUAAGUGGUCAAGCCAGGGUGGGAACAUUCGACUUCAGAGGUCACGCUUUCAAUUUCCAUUAGGAUUUUUAAUGUCAUCUGAUUUACCUGCCUUCUUGUAGCCGAUGUCUUUAUGCGCAAGCUCUUCAUUUCUCUAUCCUCUCCCGAGCUCAAUUGCAUCGACCCUUCUCUAUCCCACUUCGAAUCGUACGGGAAAGAAGAGGUUGAUGAGAACGUGAAAUAUCUAUUAACCAACUCAAGUUGGUUUUACUUCUUGUAUUUCCUUGCCGUAAGAGCGUGAACAUAACUCUGCCGGUUAGAUGACCAUACCAGGGAGUUUUUUCUCAACGGCGCUCCCAGCUAGCGACACCUAAGCAAGUUAGAGGUUCUAGACUACAAGCUGUAGUUCCCAACAGGAGUGGGACCUUAAUAGAUGAGAGGUUCCUAGAAACUUAUUUUGAAGAAACCACAUCGGUUAUAUAAAGUAUUUGCUGCACUUCCUGAGAAAGAAGUCGUCUUGGUAUUGGAUCCGCUCUUCUGUUAGCAUGAACAUGAAUUAGAUUCUAUUCAUCUUAUUUAUUCUUAAGAGAACUCCCCACCCGAACCAUUCUCAACCCCGACCUACACAAGUGGUUUUAGAACUCAUAUUUAGAAAAAGUUCUGUUAGGUUCUUAGUAGCAGUCGGCGACCUUUUUCUAUUUCCUCCUCACUCCUGGGCCUUUAUCUACAUACGUCUCUUGAAUUUGAUUGAACAAAUUACUGCCCCUGUAGAAUUAAUUAGGCGGCUUAGGGGAGAGCCUAACAUCCUGCAGAGACAAAUCAAAAGAGAUCGCAUCCCAAUGCCAAUUGUGUGUUAAUACAGAAAUGAAAAGAACAAAAUGCCCUAACAUAUAUAUGCACAUCACUCCAGAGGAUUUGCGAAUUAGGCUUUCGAAAGCGCCCGAGUCUGCUGCCGUAUCCUGCUUUUUUAUUAUUAGACAAAGAAAGAGAGUGACGAUGUCAUAUAUUAGGAAGAUUCCUAAUAAUACCCAAUGAGCGGAAUCAGAAGGGGCCGGGUUAACCAUAAGAGGCGUAAUACUGACCCCGUCCCAGCCAAUUCGAAGUUCCAAGAUAAAUUUGCUAUUCUGAUAGAUAGUGGCAAACAUUAGAUUGUUGUAUCCCAAGAUAUAGAAGACUAUUAGCCCGAAAAUUAGAUUAUGAAUAGAUGGAAUAGCAGCAAAAAGCAUCUUUCUAGCUUGCGUGGAACUCAAUCUCAUUUAGUUAGAAAGGUUCUAUCUAUCUUUCAGCAACUGAACGGGAAGUGGUUUAGGAAAGGACUUUCGAAUCAAUCGGAUGCGCUCGCCCAGCGAGAAAGGCCCUGACCCUGCCAACCAAGUCAAAAUCAAAAAGAAGAGAACUUCGUAUUUUGGUAAUUCUCUAGGAGUCAUGUUUAACCUUGAAUGCUAUUAAUAAAUUCUACAGCAAUAGUCCCUCGGACUCGGAAAGUGAUAACGAAAAUGGCUAACCCAAUAGCGGAUUCCGCAGCUGCCACCGUUGAAACCAAUGAAGCAAAUGAUUGACCCAUCAUAUCAUCCGAAGAAACGGAAAAUACCAAAAAGUUCGAAUUCACAGCUAAUAACAUUGAUUCAAUUGGCAUUGACAUAAUAGGAAUAUUUCGUCUAUUAAGGAGGAUUCCCCGAAUACCUAAAAUAGAGAUGAUCAUAGAAAAUGUAAAAUAUUUGAUAGGAUCCGUUUCGGAAACGUGGAAUGUAAGAGAAAUUCAAAUGUUAUAACCAAUACGCCUAGUAGGUAAACGUGCGCCGUCGCCUUUAUCGUUCUUGCCUUUUCUCCAUUUCAACAAACCCAUUUGGGAUUCCCUUAUCCUUAAAUAGUUGCGGUUGCGGCACGACCUCGUACGAAAGCGGCGUGCAUCGCAAUGUAUAGGGGAUGUCCCUUUUUUGUAAAAAGUCUAUUGUUCCCUUCAGAUUUCUUUGCUUUAACCAUACCAAUAAAAAUAAGAUUAUGAGCCACAAAAACAAAUGAUUGAUAAGGGGAAGUACAGAAGUAGGUUUUGGAUUUCGAUCGGAUUAUUUGGCACUUUCAUUUGCUUUGGUUCAUUUUUUAACUGCUUCCCCCAACAAGAGGUUACUAGUAUCUCGUUUCUUUACUUACUUUAAGCAAUGAAGAAAGACUUGUUUGUUGUAAAUCGCUGGUUGGGUUUACCAAUCAAGAAAGACAUGGGAAAAGGAAAGCACUCACUGAGUUACUUACGAAUCUGAAAGAUGGAGGCUGACUACGGCCUCAGAUGAUUAGGCGGGGACAGGAUUCGAACCUGCAAUCUUCAGGUCAUGAGCCUGAUGAGUUGACCAAUUACUCUACCCCGCUUCUUCCCUCUUGAAACUGAAAACAUAUAGAUUAGCAAAUGAGACUGCCCACACUGAAGACCAAGCCAAUCUCGAAGAAGAAGCCUACCCCGGACCCUGACGUGAACAGACGCUUUCUCGGAGAAAGCUUUUUUUCUUUGUUUGUUGACUUCACUUAGCAAGCCUCGAAUCCAAAUCCUUUCUACUUUCUUUCUUCUCUUAUGAAAUUUCGACUCAGCUUGAAAAGAAGCCUCAAGCCGAUAAGAGCUCUUCAUCAUGUUCGAGAAUUUCUAAAGAAGAACUGACAGUGAUUGACCUCACGGCGCACAUGCUAUAUGUUCAUGCCAAAAAGGCGAGAUUUUCUAUUCUGAAUUAAAGGAGCGAAGCGCUUAGUGGUUGAAGUAGAGGAGAGCUAGAAUGAGUCCAUUUUCCUGGGUAAAGCAGGAAGGAAGAAUCGAAAAGGCACUUUCUUUCCUAUUUAGGAAUGAGCGGCCUACAGAGUGGAAAUGAUCCCGCGAAGCCGGUCAGGCCAACUCUAGCUUUAGGAAGAAAAAGUCAUACAGUCCCUACGAAAGCAUCCAUUUCAUGAGUUGAACUGGCUCCGCUCCUUGCUGGACUGGAGGAAAAAUGAACGAGAUUAUUAAUGUUAUUCGAAGCUAGAUUAGAAGUCCGAGCUUUCCUUUCAAUUCGUGUAGCGAGGUCCUCUUCUUUUGUCUCCUAGCAUUCUACUGGAUAGCUCCUACCCUUCCUUUAUUUUCCUUGCGCUAUGAAUUGGCUUUCUUGUUGUUAAUGGGCAGACAAACUUUUGACCCUGACGUGGGUGGGCUUUUUGGAAAAAGUAUUACCUUAAUCUACUUUCUCGGGUAUCUAGCGGAAGACAAGGUCUUGACGUUCUAUAGAUGAACUAGCAUAACAGACAUGCUUGAAUUUAGAAAGGCAAGACAACUCUGAAUCACUCGUUUAAUACAAAGCAACUUUCCCCCUACCCUCUCUGUUGGGGUGUCCCCAACCCUUUCGGUUGUUUCGGCGGCAUUGAUCCCGUAUUAUUUCCACCCCCUCGUCCAUUUCUACCCUUUUUAUUCUCAUUCUUAUUUCCUUGACCUUUCUCAAUAUCUUUUGUUGGUUUUCUAGAUAUACAUAUACAUCCUUGGAAUCCUUCCCAACACAGAUAUAUUUCAUAUAUAUAUGAACAGUCUUUGUGAUCCGCUUUCUUUACUUACUUUAAGCAAUGAAGAAAGACUUGUUUGUUGUAAAUCGCUGGUUGGGUUUACCAAUCAAGAAAGACAUGGGACUCUUUUUUGUCGUUGCUUGGCUGUAAACCAAGUGCUUUUCGAUCUUAGGCGAUCUCAGGUUACCGGCUCUCCGGCCUCAUUUCGAGGCACGAUUGGAGAGCUCUUUGGGCCUGUCAGUUUCUCAAUCGCCAGAUAGAAACAGUCUGAGAUGUGAUGUUCUGAUUACUGUUGUUUAUGUAAUUUUCAAUGCUUGUUCUCAUUCCUACUUGCUUCUUUCUUGGUCACUGAACUGAUCUUUCAGAGAGGGAAGAUGAUGUUCUUAGCUCGAGAGAUAGCCCUAUUUUUUUGCCAACUUUCAGCCCUCUCCCUAUGGUCGAGAUACUAGUAACCUCCGCGGAGGUCACAUUCACGAGAAUCAGAUAAUCCGUCUUCCCCGUGCUAGGAGUUUUAAGCUUUCUUUGCCCAAAUAGGUUGCUAGGAAGAGAAUUGCUAAAUUCCCUAUCGCUGCUAUCUGCUAUCGCACCUAUCGCUUUGUUCCUCUUACGAGCUAAAUCCAUUCUCGGACUAUCGGUUGAGCUACAUAUUUCAAUGUGAGAACUAUAAAGAAACUAAGGUAAGAAUGCCCUACUAGCAACUGACUUCCUUCAGGUAUGAUUCGUUCGUGACCUAUAAGUGAGCAAGUCUUCGCCCGUUGCCAUUCAAUAGCAAAAGCUGUAGUUACUACACUCUUCUUUCUCUGAUUAUCUAUCGUGCUGCCAAGAAGCAAGGUUACGCAGUCCUCUACCUAUACGUACCUCUAAGAAGGAAGCUAUUUCAAUCCUCUCCUUGAAGUCAAGCAAUUGAAGACUUUCGUCUGCUCUCAUAAGUCAGUUCAAAAGCUUCAGACAAAGUCACCAAAAAGGAAAACAUUUUCAUUGAAAGGCUGGCUUGCGAAAGGAAAAAGGAAGCAGAAGCAGAGCGGGAGGAGAAAACACUAACUUCCCCGCAGGGAACCCGGAAACUAUCUUUCCUCUCCGGAAUAUAUCUUCUUAAUGUUGCCCUAGCUCAAGUGAAGUGAGUUGGAGUUCUUUGUUUGAGUUUGAUUUAUUUCCAGCUACGGAGCUGAGGUCACAUUCAUUUCUAGAGGAAAUCCUGAUCUUCUUAUCGUUCGUGACUUCCACCUAAAGUCAUUGCGUUCAGCCCUCUCCCUAUGGUCGAGCAACUACGUACCUUUCUUUUCUAGACCUCAUGUGGGAGAGGUACGAUGUUACUGCUUGACCUAUAACCAGCUCUCCUUGGGAAAGAAAAGAGCUUGACAUACGAGACAUGUCGGAGAAGGCAUCUGUUACUAAAGAAAAUCUCAUUUGCCAACAUUCCCUUGGGUAUUCCCCCUUAAGAGGCCUUAACAACGAAAUGAAAGGGUUUUGAGCAGCUCAUUCGCUUACAGAGAACUCAGCUAAAGAAGAAAAGGUAGAAAGAAAUCUACAAGUUACAUCGAACUCUCCUCCAUAUGCUUUUCUUAAUCUUUCCCGUAGGAGAGUCACAGAUGAGGAAAUUGCAUAGGUGACCGGGGAACAGUUGAAAUGCCUUAUUUUAUUUCCUAGAAAUGGAGUUCUGAGUUUCGCUUACGCUUGCAACUAAACUAGAUUCAAAAGCAAAUCCUUCCUCCUCUCCCUAUCGGUCGAGAGCCUCAUAUCUCUUCCCUGGGAUUAUACCUUCCUCUAAGAAGCAAGGGUUUCCUUAAUCAAUCAUAUUACGGAGAGCAAAGAGAGAAAGUCACUCUUCUUAUCGUUCGCCCACUUCACUUCUCUUGAAAGACAAGACAGGGAAGAGGUAGCGUCUAGGCCGAAAAACUCGUGGCUAAGGUCCAUGCACACUAGUCGUAAAACACACGAACUGAACUAGCAAGAUUAGGGUUUGGUUUUUAAGACGGCGCAGACUCAAGGAAUAAGUUUGCUUCAAAGCUAGAAAGGCUUAAUAAGCGCAUCUCCAGUACACUGAGCUUACACCUUUUUUCUUAAUUUUCAGCACAUUUUUACGAACUUUAUUAUUUAUUAUAUUUUCAUAAGUAGUAAAGAUUUACAACUAGGGCUUUUCCCAUACCAUACAUGCAAACAUAAAAAAGAAAACCAAACAAAGAUAGUUAGCAUAGAUAGGAGUCUAUCUCCAGUAAGCAUCCGGAGUAGAUCUCAACUAAAAAAGACAAAGAACACCAUACAUUAAAACACACUACUUUGCGUCUACAGACACUUAUUUAAAUCUUCUAGAAAGAGUCGACGGACCCUUUAUGAAGCUUACGCACACAUAGACAAACCAGCCACACAACUAAACACAACAUUACAACAAAAAGUUAACAAACAACAUAUUAAAGACUCUUCUAGGUCCCCCUGCGGCUGCGGAGGGCCCCCCUCACAAUGAGGUCUCGUUGUUCUUGGAGGAGGGCCCUCCUCCUUUCUUCCAGACCGCGAAUGCGGUCCAGGAUCCGUUGCAUGGCUGCAGCCACAAGCGCUGGAUCGAUGGGAGGCAGGUGCUCCCAAAAGGCAGCCAGGGUUUGCUGCCGUUGGGCCUUCUCGGUAUCGAUGUUUUGAAUUUCUUGAUCUAUUUGGGAAAGUCUUUCAGCAGUUGCUGGAUCCAUCUCCCUUUGCUUUGCCAAAUAGAGAAAGAAGCGUCCUAUUUAUAGGCGCGGGGGUCCAUUAAGAAAAAAUAAAAUCCUUAGUUUUUUCGCGGGUAUCGCCACGCGGCUUAAUCCCUCUAACUCCCUCAGGAAUAGGAGGCAAUAAUAGAACGCACAUCAGAGAAGAGAGUACUCCCUUUCUAAAUAAAUAAACAAGGCCCUCCGCGUCCUUUCUUAAUAGAUGGAGCAAUCCUCACUCGACAGCUCGAAAGCGGAUCAGUACAAACCCACGUGAUCCGUAUUCGCUUACGUACCAGGCGUGCUUCGUCGUACCCUGACAACUCCUCUUUCACUGGCUUCUACUUGUCUUUUACUGGCUUAUUUGUACCCAGCUUCAUGAUGGAACUCCCCUCGGCCAAUCGUCACUCGACAGCAGCUCCGUCCUAGCGUAGGCGAUUGAAGUAAAGCCUCUGCCUCUAUCGCUUGAUUGAAAGGAUCAGACACUUUCCCCUACUUUUGACAGCAGAACGAAUUAUAUUAUAAAGAUAAGUAAGGUAAACUUGCUUUUGCCGAUUGCACUCGGAUAGCGGCCUGGGCCGUCCUGGAAUGGGAAUAAAAUGAAUUAGAUGGACUGGACUUCGAUGGGCUUUGUUUGGAAAGGUGGCAUUUCCGGGCCAGGGCUGAAAAUGGAUCUGAAUGCUAACAUUGGGCUAACCUUCACUCCAAUAGAAUGGGGAAACGAGCAGAAGCAUAUUUUGUCUGCCAUCCCUCAGGGCAAAUCCGUGUUCAUCACAGGCUCUGCUGGGACUGGUCAAACCCUAUUGCUUGAGGAAAUAAAAUAAAAAAAUGACCAAUUUUGUCAUACAAUAAGAUCCAAUUUGUUUGGCCCAUUACCUUGAGUGAGGCCGAACGUGUACACCUUUUGUUAUGAAGAUGUGAUCUUAUCCACCGAUGGGUCUUGUUCUAAGCCCAACCCUCUCGUCUUAGGGUAGGAUAUCCAGAAACCUUAAAUCACGGGAACUUCCCCUUUUUGGUGGACAACCUAUGUUGGGCUGACUAAGCCCACUAUCCUACCUAAUAGGGUCCCAUCUUGUGUCGGGUUAAGGGCGCUUAGUGGAACCCAAUUUAUGCAUUUGUAGUCUAGGACGUUGCUUGGCAUUGGGCUUUAGUUAAGCCUAUAUCCAUUUCAGAAUAGGAUCUUUUAUGUAGCCCAACUCUUUGAAUUUGGAUAGAUCCGGAGGACAGGACCUUGGCCUUCUUGCAUAGACUUGGGCUUGCUUUGAUGAUGGGUAGGCUUGUCGUGCUUUUGCCCCCCUAUCUAAUCAAGGGGCUUUCAUCGAGGCUGGAAGACCAAGAUGCGAAUUACAUGCUUAUCAAAUCAAAAAUGGAAUCAUUUUCAGGGUUUCAGAGAUAAGAUAGUGAGGCUUUGCCUAUACGAAGAAUAGGCCUUCCCUAUAGUACUGGGGCUACUAGGCAAUCGGACUUUUCCCACUACCGGGACGACUAUUUACUUCCUUACUAAAGGACUUAAUGAUCCAGGGAGGAAGCUAGUCUAGAGAGAAGCAGAAAAUCAAAUAAAUAAGGUAUAGAGCACCCUACAUACCUUGCUCAGAGAGAGGCAAAGACAAGUGCUGUUGAGGUACCGGUUCAACCAAGUGCCCAAGCAGCAACAAUAACUUAAAUACGGCGGAAGACAUCUAUUUCACCCGUGCCCAGAAAAGAAUCUUACAUUAAGUCCAAAGAUCCGGGGUAGGGAUGAUUGACACGUUGAUUUUAGUACCCCUUAAAUGAUAGGGUAGGUUCGUAUGUUUUUGUGAAAGCUCGGCUCCUGUUAUUGCUGAUGUCCAGUCAUCCACAUUUGAAUUCCUUGGAAAAGAAGGCUAACUGCUUGUUGGCUGGGAGCGAGCGGUAAGUCCAUUAGUUCGAUGAUUCUUCUUCGCCUUUAUUUAGAAGGCUUGUUCAAUAAAUCUCCUAAACAAACAGUAGGAAUUUGCUAAUCAAACGACCUAACUUAUUGUUUUGUUCACGCUCUAAGGAAGUGACUUGUUCAGCCUCUGCUGUUCUUGUUUACGACUCUACUGCUAUUGAUUAAUCCGCUGGGAUUGGAAUGCUUGACUUGCUUUCAAAGCCUUUCUAGGCUAACUCUUAACUAAGUCAAGUCCCAACAACGGCUAGCGAAGAAACUGUAGGGCUUAAGGCAGCGAAUGACCUGAGGGUAGGCAACUCAAUAGAAUAAUUAAGCAGCCUAACAGGAUUGGUGAAACUGGAUUGGUUGGAUGCUUUUCCUUGCUCUCUACUUUCCUAAGCCUGCUCACUGACUUCACUUGCUAGCUAGAAAAAGAUGCGAAGAGCCUGCUCUCAUUUGUUUAAAAUACAACUCCGGGGGCGAAGUCAUCUUAAUAGUCAAAGAGCCUGGGACUGAUGUAAAGGCUUUCAAAUGCUACAGCCUAGAGAUAAAAGAAAAUGAUAUAAGGGAAGGAAGAAAUCUACCUAUUCUCUUUUUUUACCUACCUUGGAAUUAUCCUUAGCCCUCCUAGAGAAACUAUUACCUCCUCGAGUACGAGCGCGAGUAAGAUAUUGAACGUCCCUCGUAUGGAUCGACAUGAAAUGAAAGAGAUUAAGAAGGGAAGGCGGAAGCUAAGGCAUUAGGAUAGGAAUGACAAGGAUAAGAACUAGACAGCUUCACUCCUGGCUUUUCAACUAACUGGCCAGGAGAGUUUACUUAUGACUUCCUUAGGACUGCAAUAGGGCUUGCUUAGUCACCUCCUUAACUCAUAGAAUGCUUGAAAACUAUCUUAAUUGUGACUUGCUUUCCAAAACCAAAACAGGAUAACUCAAAGGCUUGAUCACGGGAUUUGACUUCCUGCUAAUAAUCCUGCUGUAUAACCCCUCCGCAAGGUAACCUAUCACUCCGGGCUUACCUUCAAAAAGUGUAACGACCUAGAAGGUCUAGAAAAUGACUAUUAGUUAGACGGAAUAGUCAUUUCAUUGAAACUAUUACGAGGACUGUACUAGAACAGGCUCCCAUGGAACACAACUACACCUCGGCUUGCCUCUCAGUUGAAAGAGGAAGAUGCCAUGAGACUGAUCUGGAUAUUCCCUAAGUACAAGGAAAGAUCUCCAUUAUAACCCAACCCUGUACGUACCCUUUUGCCAUCGUAUCCCGUAAGCCCUUCUUUCUUUUAGCCAACUCCUUCUACUUCAAAUAGCUCUAUCCACUGGGACGGACUUUAAGCCUUUCUCUUCUUUACUUAACCUUGCUCCGCAACUGAAAGGGGUCGGUAGACUGACUUGCUUGCGGGACUAAUGCUAACAAAUUGCUCAACUACUCGCUUCAAGUCUCCCGCUCUCUUAUCUUGAAUCAGUGUGCACCGAGGGAGUCAAGAUUUAUAGAGUCAGUGUGCAGUGGCCUAUUUUUCAUUCAACUAAUUCAUAGUUCACUUAGCCCUCUAGCUAAAAGCUAUCAGUCAAGUUAGGAGGAGGGUUGAAUCUGUACUUCCUUUCCUUCCUCCAACUUCUUAGCCCCGAUCUUUGGAAUUUCCUAGUGAGGGUCCCGAUAGGGGCAAUCUCAAGGAUUCGUCCUACUUCUAGAUUGAACCACCUGAAAAAGGCUAUGGUGACGCUUUCUCACUCAUUGAUCAGGAUUUUUUGUCGUGUUAUUCGCAUUCUGUUUUGGCUACUCACGAAACUCUUUAUCCUUAAUAGGAAGAACUCCCUUUAGAGGAAGGAUACAAAGACCAAGCCUGUCUUUCUCUCUGAAAAAGGGCAUAUGGGGCAGGGCAGACAGACUAUUUUUGGGGACUAAUCUGCUAAUGAAUGAAGGAAGGAGAAGGCCUUAAUUGUCUAUCCAAAGGUCCGCCUUGGGUGGAAAUAGGCGAAUCAAGUGGGUGGGAAUGAUCCGAGCCCCCUAUGUCAAUUUCAGUAAGGUAACUAAGGUUUACAAUAAUUAAUUUCAGUAGUGCGUUACCUUGCUGCUCUAUCUAUCGGGUAAUCAGUCUCUUGGUCAAAAGCCGGUACCUAAUUCCCCUGCUGGUGGGCCGAUCCUCGUCUAGCGGUGGGAACCGGCUGGUAUGGAUCAAUUGCUUGCCCUGUCUCUCUUCUGUUCAACCAUCGAGAAUCCGCAGUUCUCUUUUUGGGUGGAAUAAUAGGCGAAGGAAUCCGCAGCUAUUGAAUCAGCUGUUAGAAAGGGACGAAGUGGCUUAGUUGAACAUAGUGGGACGGAAGGUUCAGAGGCUUCCCGUCCCCGGAUGGUGUAAGUCCUUCUCUUACUGUUGAAGAAAGCGAGAACGGUAAGUACUAAACUGAUAGAAGACUCCCACUUGUGGCUAAUAGUCUUUAUUGUGGGGCACCUUUCAGGUUCUGGAGAAAGUGCAUUCCUAGGCGGUAGCUUUCCAAGAGAGCCCUACGGCAGUGGAAUCGGCCGAUAAAAGAAACCUUAGGGCUGGGAAUCACAAGUGGCAUAGAGAUCCUUAGGAGUACGGAGCAGUUGUUACGCCAGGAAAGGCAGGAUUCCGUCCCACACAGAACGAACUCUACUAAUGUCUCUGACUUAUUCCUCCCCCUGGCCGAAGGUCAAAUAAGGAUCCGCUUUAAAGGGUAAUAGACCGACCAGCCGGACGAGGACAGUGUUUUCGGGAACCAAGUGGCGCGCGCCUUAACUGUACCAAUGAGCGGUACGGGGCUUCGGAGCGAAGGAAGACAAAAUGACUGAAAUUACUUUCUUUUCUGGCGAAAGCAUUCCGUAAAAGGUGAGAAGAGUGCGGCCCGAAAUAAAUAAGUAGGGCGUCCUCAGUACUUUGGCUUCAAAAGUUUCGCUACGCACCUCAGUCCUUACUCUUUCGAGUAAGCAAGCGCUACGCCCCUUUGAAGAUGGCCCAUAUGGGGUGGGUUCCUACUUCGCCCGCUAUAACUCUUCUUUUGCUGCCGGCCUUCGAGAGCCUUUUUGGUGCAUCUAAGACUGAAAAGAGUGAUGUGAAAGAAUGGCACAGUCAUUUCUAUUCUCGCUUUCUUUCCAGCACGGGGAUUCGCCCGAACGAUCUUACCGCUAGCCAACAUUUGAUUUUUUUUUCAUAGGAAUGAAUUUAUCUCUUCGUCUUGAUGCCUGCUAUCUUCCUAAACAGGAGAGAAAGAAAGCCCCAACCUCUUCCUUCUUAUACUAAGAGUCAUAUUCAAAGAUAUCCCCACACCGAUAAUGCCCUAUCCCUUUAUUUAGGGACUACCUUCGAGGAAUUCCUCUCGCGUCCCUGUAUUGAUAAGAGCGCAUUAUCUAACAGCUUUGAGACCGAGGCAGCCAUCCUCUUGCCAAUCCUAAACAAAAGAAAAGCCUACCCACCUUCAUUGGAAGAGUCAGGGGCAUUUACCUAUCAGUCCUAGUCCUAAGGCGCAAUCGGAGCACUAAGCCCUUAUACUUACUGCUUUACUCCGUAAAUUAGACCUCCUUCCCCGGUGCCUGAUGGUUAUUUCGGAUUAUGUGCCUGAGUGGUCUCUUAUAACUAUUGAUUAAACCUCCUCGGGCAUUAACGUUGUCACUUCCUUUAUUUGAAAAUCAAAUAUAACAGAAGCCAAAAAUUCAUCAUCCAACGCCACUGUUCCAUGCAAGUCAGAUUCGAGCACCCUCGAUGUAGACUUGAUUCUGCAAUUCGAUUAGUAGCUGCAGAUUAGGGUGAGUGCCUAUACCCGCGGGAGUCGCUGUAUUUGCUAGAGCAAGGUUGUUCGCUAGCUCGAGCCAGGUGUGUGGUUCUUGAACAUUACAAUUAGAAAAGGUAAAAUAAUGGGACAGAAUUUCCGAACAUUUAUAGAGUAAUGUUUGCGGGGAGUCCGUAGGAUCCGGAUUUUGAAUCCUCUUUCUUCCCAAUAGAGUUGCAGAUUCGGCUCAAACUGCUCAAUGCGGGCAAUCUUUCUACCUAUUUGUUUGGUUAAGUUGAUCUUCGGGAAGGCCGAGCCCCCCUUCGGUCCUUCUUGUAGGUUAGGUUGUUACGGGAAAGGGCUUCGGUUGAGUUCUGUUUCGACGGCUUUAGUUUGGAGGAUCUGAAAGACUUCUGCCGGUGCAAGCGAUCUCAUAGAUGGAUCACAGGGAAUAACUCAAGAUAGGAAAGCAUUAAUCGCCGGCCGGCAAACAAGCCUUCCCGUAGUCUUUCCGCCUAUGUCCCUUAGGCUCUCUGUCCUGCUCCCCGAAAGAGGAAAGCAAACAAGCCACCAGCACUUCAAUCAGUAAAGCUAGCCACUCAACUCGCUCUCUUCAAAUUCCCUUUUACAUUUUAUUUCAGAUCCUCCACCUAGCCAAGUAGGUCUCAAAAGGUUUACCCCGCAUAUGCUUAGUCGCCGCAAGCUCCAUAUAGGUUACUUUGCGGGCUACUGAAUAGAAUCUUCGGUGAAAGGCGUCUACCAUAUCGGCGCAACUAUUGAUCGAGUGCGUGUAUACCACGUGAAUGCGACACCCGAAAGACUAGCAGAAAAGUGCUUCAGCAACAAACUCUCAUCGUGAGCAGUGUCUCUGCUGGCAAUUUCGAAAUUACUAAUAUGCUGCUCUCGAGAUCUCCACUUCCAUCAUACAACCGAAACCAGCUAAGGAAGGAGCGAUCCAUAAGAAUCGCCUCGAAUAGCCAUAACCUCAUCUCGCCUUCCACCGCACCAGCAAGAGGAAACCGAAUUAGAGCUGAAAGAAUACUAGAGCCAUCGUAGGAGAACCGGAUUCUUGACCGAUCGACUUUUGCCCGAGGUCGUUAGGUCGAAUAGGCUAGGUUUACGAAAAAGAGACUAAGGAUGGACAUGACAUGGGGGAUGAAAUCCACCGCUUCUAAAGGAAAACCCUUGUCCGUUACCCAUUGACUUCAACACUUCAAUUACGAAAAACCUUUAAAUUAAAUUCCCUUUGACUUCGACUUAACCAACCGCAAGUAAAAGAGCUAGCUGAAAAGCCUGCUUGGCUUGCCCUACUGGCACCGUCCCUACAAGAAUCCCUAACCCGUUUUAGCUCCUAAUACAGAGCUCUAAGUUAUUGUUAUUCUGGCUUGUGUUCCUUGGUCCGUUGCUUGCUAUUCCUAUUAUAGAUAGAAAAGCUCCUAUUCCGCUUCCUCUUGCGCCUGAUCCUCUUCCGCAGUUCUUGCUUCCUUCACUUACUUACUUUACUACCUUAGAAAGGAAGAAGCUUAACUCAUACGAGCCUCCUUGCAUUGUCGCUCUACUCUUUUCUCGCUGUCUGGGAGCUCCAUUCAUCACCCCUAUUCACUUACGAAGCAACCGGACUCGCCUCAACAAGAGAAGCUGCAUCCCGUAGGGGCAGAAAGAGAACCGCUGCUUUGACUUGACUCUCCCCUGUAACCCUUUGCCCUCCUGCCUGCAGAUUGCCACAAAAGACGUGUGAGUACGCCCCUCAUGCUUUGCGUUGCCAGCUUUGCUUUGUCCAACCCCUUUGACUCCCUGCACCUAUAAAAUAACUAUACCCCACUUAAGGCUUCUUUCGAGGCAGUUAAAGACGGUGGAAGGACAGCAUUCAAACAAUUUAACAAUUGCCUGUUGAAAAAAUCCUACGUUAGAACCAGACUUUCAGCAAUCCCAGAAUGCGGGUGGCAGUGGGAUGUCCUAAAUCCCUUUGAUGAAUCCCAUCCAUGGAAUUUCCGGAAGAGUCACUCGCCAGAGCAGAGGAAGGGAAUUCGGAACUCAAUCACCAAGUUAACCUUCCCAUUGUCUAUGCCAGCAACAAAGGAAGAGGUGAGCUACCAACUCGUCACCUCCCCUCUCGUUCCACUUCUGUCUGUUCUUUCAUUGUCAAGUGUCGGACUCUGGUCUUUUUGGAACAAGAAAGUGUUCCGUGAGUGAGAUUUCCCCUCUCUUCUUUAAUCUUCCCAAAGCUCACUAAUUUAGUGAGAGAGGCUCUAAUGCUGCUAGCGACGGGUAGCUACUAGGAAGAGUUUACGGUAUGAAAUUUCUCGACUAUAAAAUUUCAUAAGAGAAGAAAGCUGCUAGCAGAGGGAAGUUCUACACUUUUUUGUUUGGAUUGAUCGAGUGUACUUUUUCUUUUCGAGAUUGGCUUGGUGUGCAGUGGAAAGAGGGUGGAAAAGAGUGGUAAGGGGGAGGGCGGCGCCCCUUGCU
rnacentral:lncRNA from 1 species